rnacentral:lncRNA from 1 species
CUUGUCGUUUAAUUUGAGAUCCAAAUACAUAAUACAAAUGCAAAUAUGAGUUAAAAGUCCGAGUUUGUCUUUUCCCGCAAUAAAUAAAAAUUAAAUAUCUCGAAAAUGAGCUCCAUAACCUUCAAGAGUUUUAGCUUAUUGAGUUCCUCAACCAAAUGCAUGCUCUUUUGACUUAUACUUUCAAUUUUAAAUUGUAGAUUUGAU